AGUGUAUUGGACUAACAAGGCGGUAACAGGUAACGGAGAAUUGGGGUUCGAUUCCGGAGAGUCAGCCUGAGAAACGGCUGACAUUUCUACGGAAGGCAGCAGGCGUGAAAAUUACCCAAUCACAAUUCGUGGAGGUAGUUAAUAGACAUAACAGUCCCGGCCUUUAUGGUUUGGGAAUGUAAUGAGCUCAGUCUAGACAGCUGGGCGAAAUCCAUUGGAGGGCAAGUCUGGUGCCAGCAGCCGCGGUAAUUCCAGCUCCAAUAGCUUUGUUGAAAGUUGCUGCAGUUAAAAAGCUCGUAGUUGAAUAUCCGGCGUCUCUGACGUCUGCCCGACUCGGCUGUAGAUGUUGAAAAGACUUUUACUGAUCGAUCAGGCGUUUACUGUGAACAAAUUAGAGUGCUCAAAACAGGCUUUUGCUUGAAUUUUUUAGCAUGGAAUAAUAAAAUAACGACUUCGCUC
rnacentral:rRNA from 1 species